rnacentral:rRNA from 1 species
GACGGGGGGAGCUAGCGUUGUUCGGAAUGACUGGGCGUAAAGGGCGCGUAGGCGGUUAUGUAAGUUAGAUGUUAAAGACCUGGGCUUAACCUAGGGAGUGCAUUUAAGACUGCAAGACUAGAGACCAAGAGAGGAAAAUGGAAUUUCCGGUGUAGAGGUGAAAUUCGUAGAUAUCGGAAGGAACACCAGAGGCGAAGGCGAUUUUCUGGCUUGGCACUGACGCUGAGGCGCGAAAGCGUGGGGAGCGAAUAGG